GCCAAACAGCUAGCUUAGCCACCCAAAUAACAUAAUGAUAUAAAAUAAAGAAAAUAACAUUAAUCACCAACCAAACCAUUUUCCCUCUUUAGUAUGGGAGACAGAAAAAGACACCUAAGCGAUAGAAAAAGUACCGCAAGGGAAAGCUGAAAAAGAAAUGAAACAAACCAUUUAUAGCAUAAAAAAGCAGAGCCUAAAACUUGUACCUUUUGCAUCAUGAUUUAGCAAGAACUUAACAAGCAAAGAGAAUCUUUAGUUUGAAACCCCGAAACCAAGCGAGCUACCCCGGGACAGCCUGUAAGGGCCAACCCGUCUCUGUGGCAAAAGAGUGGGAAGAGCCCCGGGUAGAGGUGACAGACCUACCGAGCUUGGUGAUAGCUGGUUGUCUGAAAAAUGAAUAGAAGUUCAGCCUCGUACUCCUUCAAUUAAAAAUAAAACAUUUAAUAUUAAACCAAUAGAGCAAAAUACGAGAGUUAGUUAAAGGGGGUACAGCCCUUUUAACAAAGGAUACAACCUUCACAGGAGGAUAAAGAUUAUAAUUCAAAAAACCUGUCGUCCCAGUGGGCCUAAAAGCAGCCACCUGAACAGAAAGCGUUAAAGCUCAAACGACAUAAAGUUAAUUAUUUUAAUAAAAAAUCUUACUCCCCUAAAAUUAUCAGACCAUCCCAUGCAUGCAUGGAAGAGAUAAUGCUAAAAUGAGUAACAAGAGAAUAUGCUUCUCUCCCGGCAUAAGUGUAAGCCAGCCCGGACUAACCACUGGUAACUAACGAACCCAACAAAAGAGGGUACUGUAAAAAACAUCGUACACAAGAAAAACUUACAAUUAAAUUAUCGUUAAACCCACACUGGAAUGCCACUUAAGGAAAGACUAAAAAAGAAGGAAGGAACUCGGCAAACCCAAGCCCCGCCUGUUUACCAAAAACAUCGCCUCCUGCAAACCUCAAAGUAUAGGAGGUCCAGCCUGCCCAGUGACCACAAGUUUAACGGCCGCGGUAUUUUGACCGUGCAAAGGUAGCGCAAUCACUUGUCUUUUAAAUGAAGACCCGUAUGAAUGGCUAAACGAAGGCUUAACUGUCUCCCCUCUUAAGUCAGUGAAAUUGAUCUGUCCGUGCAGAAGCGGACAUACUCAUACAAGACGAGAAGACCCUUUGGAGCUUAAGGUGCAAGUCCAACCGUUCUUAAGCAGCUUGCUAAACAAGCAUUAAACCUAACGGAAAAUGAAACUUUACCUUCGGUUGGGGCGACCACGGAGAAAAACAAAUCCUCCGAGUGGACUGGGUUAAUGCAACCUAAAACCAAGAAAGACAUUUCCAAGUCACAGAAUAUCUGACCAAUAAUGAUCCGAUCCCCAUGAUCGAUCAACGAACCAAGUUACCCUAGGGAUAACAGCGCAAUCCUCUCCCAGAGUCCAUAUCGACGAGAGGGUUUACGACCUCGAUGUUGGAUCAGGACAUCCUAAUGGUGCAGCCGCUAUUAAGGGCUCGUUUGUUCAACGAUUAAAGUCCUACGUGAUCUGAGUUCAGACCGGAGCAAUCCAGGUCAGUUUCUAUCUGUACUGUCAUUUUUCCUAGUACGAAAGGACCGGAAAAAAAAGGCCCAUGUUAACAACACGCCUUACCCUAAAUUAAUGAACACAACUCAAUUAAGUAAAAGGAGGACUAAAACUCAGGCCAAGAUAAAGCCAC
rnacentral:rRNA from 1 species